AUUGAACGCUGGCGGCAGGCUUAACACAUGCAAGUCGAGCGGGGGAAGGUAGCUUGCUACUGGACCUAGCGGCGGACGGGUGAGUAAUGCUUAGGAAUCUGCCUAUUAGUGGGGGACAACAUCUCGAAAGGGAUGCUAAUACCGCAUACGUCCUACGGGAGAAAGCAGGGGAUCUUCGGACCUUGCGCUAAUAGAUGAGCCUAAGUCGGAUUAGCUAGUUGGUGGGGUAAAGGCCUACCAAGGCGACGAUCUGUAGCGGGUCUGAGAGGAUGAUCCGCCACACUGGGACUGAGACACGGCCCAGACUCCUACGGGAGGCAGCAGUGGGGAAUAUUGGACAAUGGGGGGAACCCUGAUCCAGCCAUGCCGCGUGUGUGAAGAAGGCCUUAUGGUUGUAAAGCACUUUAAGCGAGGAGGAGGCUACUUUAGUUAAUACCUAGAGAUAGUGGACGUUACUCGCAGAAUAAGCACCGGCUAACUCUGUGCCAGCAGCCGCGGUAAUACAGAGGGUGCGAGCGUUAAUCGGAUUUACUGGGCGUAAAGCGUGCGUAGGCGGCUUAUUAAGUCGGAUGUGAAAUCCCCGAGCUUAACUUGGGAAU
rnacentral:rRNA from 1 species